GUUGUAUGGUUAAGUGACUAAGCGUACACGGUGGAUGCCUUGGCAGUUGGAGGCGAUGAAGGACGUAUUAACUUGCGAUAAGCCUAGUCAAGCUAGUAAAAAGCACUUGAGACUAGGAUUUCCGAAUGGGGAAACCCACCUGCUUGCAGGUAUCGUUAACUGAAUACAUAGGUUAACGAGGCGAACGCGGAGAACUGAAACAUCUAAGUACCCGUAGGAAAAGAAAUCAACCGAG
rnacentral:rRNA from 1 species